rnacentral:lncRNA from 1 species
AAUGAGUUAAAAAUAUAAAGUAAAUAAAAUAAAGUCAAAAAGAAAUAAAAAAGAAAAAAGUAAAGCAAAGGUUAUUUAAAGUAUUAAAGUAAAGAAAAAAGUAUUAUAAGGUGGUCACUCUUUAGUCGAAAAUGUAUUUGAUACAAUAAAAAAGAAAAAUUAAAAUACAAAAUAGAAGCGAUUCCUCAAAGUUACAUGGCAUAGUUUUUAGUAUUUUUUAAUAUUAGUUGAUUCAAGAGUUGCCCACUCAAUCUGUUGAUUCGGAAUCGUGGGAUGGGUCGCUGUAAAAGACGAUGAAUUGGUUUCUUUUUCUAUCCCUGCCACUCAUUUUUGUUAGUACCUUUCUAGAAUACUUGAAGAAUCAAAACUUUCAAUUGAAGGUAUUCUUUCAAUGGGUAGAGCAUUUUUGCUUAUCUUCGUAUCGUCCAAAAGUGGAAACUUAGGGAAGUG